CCUACGGGCGGCAGCAGUGAGGAAUAUUGGUCAAUGGGCGCGAGCCUGAACCAGCCAAGUAGCGUGAAGGAUGACUGCCCUACGGGUUGUAAACUUCUUUUAUAAAGGAAUAAAGUGAGGCACGUUUGCCUUUUUGUAUGUACUUUAUGAAUAAGGAUCGGCUAACUCGGUGCCAGCAGCCGCGGUAAUACGGAGGAUCCGCGCGUUAUCCGGAUUUAUUGGGUUUAAAGGGAGCGUAGAUGGGUUGUUAAGUCAGUUGUGAAAGUUUGCGGCUCAACCGUAAAAUUGCAAUUGAUACUGGCAGUCUUGAGUACAGUUGAGGUAGGCGGAAUGCGGGGUGUAGCGGUGAAAUGCAUAGAUAUGGCGAAGAACUCCGAUGGCGAAGGCAGCAUGCCGG
rnacentral:rRNA from 1 species